UCAGGUAAGUGAAGAUUUCGACUACACUUUUUUGAUUCUGUUAAAGGUGAUCAGAAAACGUACCUGGUAAGCAUUAAGUAAUUCACAACGUGUUGGUAAACAUUUCACACUGAUUUCUCUGUCCAAAAAGAAGAUGUGUCAAG